UACGGGGGGGCAAGCGUUGUUCGGAAUUACUGGGCGUAAAGGGCUCGUAGGCGGCCAACUAAGUCAGACGUGAAAUCCCUCAGCUUAACUGGGGAACUGCGUCUGAUACUGGAUGGCUUGGAUUCGGGGAGAGGAAUGCGGAAUUCCAGGUGUAGCGGUGAAAUGCGUAGAUAUCUGGAGGAACACCGGUGGCGAAGGCGGCAUUCUGGACCGAUAUUGACGCUGAGGAGCGAAAGCCAGGGGAGCAAACGGG
rnacentral:rRNA from 1 species